rnacentral:rRNA from 1 species
GAGUUUGAUCGUGGCUCAGGAUGAACGCUGGCGGCGUGCUUAAUACAUGCAAGUCGAACGAAGCACCUCUCCCGAAGAUAGACCCAGCUUGCUGGGAAUUGAUUCAUUUGAGGUGACUGAGUGGCGGACGGGUGAGUAACGCGUGGGUAACCUGCCUUAUACAGGGGGAUAACAGUUGGAAACGACUGCUAAUACCGCAUAAGCGCACAGUACCGCAUGGUACAGUGUGAAAAACUCCGGUGGUAUAAGAUGGACCCGCGUCUGAUUAGCUAGUUGGUGGGGUAACGGCUUACCAAGGCAACGAUCAGUAGCCGACUUGAGAGAGUGAUC